rnacentral:lncRNA from 1 species
UGCCACUGCACUCCAGCCUGGGUGACAGAGCAAGACUCUGUCUCAAAAAAAAAAAAAAAUUACUGAAAUUUCUUUUUUAUUUAUUUUUCUUCUAAGACAGGGUCUUGCUGUGUUGCCCAGGCUAGAUUGCAGUGGCUAUUCACAGGUGUGAUCCUGCUACUGAGCAGCUAAAGUACUAAGCCAUUUCUAAAAAAAGGGCAAACAAAAAAAAGAGUAAACAAACUCUUCUGACAUUCCACACAUUACCCUUUGCUGUUAGGCAGUAAGAGAAGAAUAAGAGCAGGAGGGCAAACAUAUGAUGAGAACUUACAACAAAAGUGACCAUUCAUCGUCACGAAAUACCUUUAACCAACAUACAAAGAGCCCAUGGUACACGUGUGUAAACCAAAUAUCAAGCUCCUUAGAAAAAGUAGCCCACCUCAGCCUCCCAAAGUGCUAGGAUUACAGGCGUGAGCCACCGUGCCCCACCAAGGAUAUUCUUUCUGCAUCAAAAACUCUACAGUUAUGAAAGCCACAUUUGUUGC